rnacentral:misc_RNA from 1 species
GAUGAAGAACGCAGCGAAAUGCGAUAACUAAUGUGAAUUGCAGAAUUCAGUGAAUCAUCGAGUCUUUGAACGCACAUUGCGCCCCCUGGUAUUCCGGGGGGCAUGCCUGUCCGAGCGUCAUUGCUGCCCUCAAGCACGGCUUGUGUGUUGGGCUCCGUCCCCCCGGGGACGGGCCCGAAAGGCAGCGGCGGCACCGAGUCCGGUCCUCGAGCGUAUGGGGCUUUGUCACCCGCUCUGUAGGCCCGGCCGGCGCCAGCCGACAACCCAUCAUCCUUUUCAGGUUGACCUCGGAUCAGGUAGGGAUACCCGCUGAACUUAAGCAGAUCAAUAAGCGGAGGA